UACGUAGGGGGCAAGCGUUGUCCGGAAUUAUUGGGCGUAAAGCGCGCGCAGGCGGUCAUGUAAGUCCGAUGUGAAAAUCCAAGGCUCAACCUUGGGACUGCAUUGGAAACUGCAUGACUUGAGAGCAGAAGAGGAGAGUGGAAUUCCUAGUGUAGCGGUGAAAUGCGUAGAUAUUAGGAGGAACACCAGUGGCGAAGGCGACUCUCUGGUCUGUUACUGACGCUGAGGCGCGAAAGCGUGGGGAGCAAACAGG
rnacentral:rRNA from 1 species